AUAAAUGCAUUGAGCAAGAGGAUUAAUGGUAAUCCCUUUCAGCGAGAGAAUAGUAGUGAGAGAUUCUUAAGGUAACCAUUAAUUGUAGCUUGUGAGCAGAUAUAGUGAAUUAAUAAUAACUAUGUCCGGUACCGACCGUUAUUCGUUUUGAGUUGGGAUUAUUGACUAAAUAAUCCAAUUUAGGUGGUACCGCGAGCAUUCGUCCUAUUU
rnacentral:ncRNA from 1 species